rnacentral:lncRNA from 1 species
UGGGAACCUAGCCUUUGGGACUUCCUCAGGCAAGAGGCACUUGCUGCAGGUUCUCCCAUCUCUUUGCCAGUGACAUGGCCUUUCCUUCUGAGGCUCCCUGCUACCUCCCCUUUCCAUACUCUGUAGUCCCAACAGUUUACAACCUUUAAAUUUUAGAUUAAGAAGAACUGGUAGGUUGGGCAUGGUAGUGUACACCUUUAAUCCCAGCACUUGGGAGGCAGAGGCAGAAUGAUCUCUGUGAGUUCAAGAUCAGCCUAGUCUACAAAUUGAGUCCAGGACAGUCAGAGCUGGUUGCACAGAGAAACAUCAAAAAACAAAAAAACAAAAAACAAAACAAAAAACAAAAAACAAAACAAAACAAAACAAAACAACCCCAACAACCAACCAAUCAAGUAAAAAUCCAAAGGGUUGGAGAGAUGGCUCAGUGGUUAAUUCCCAACCAGGGUUCAAUUCCCAACACCUACAUGGCAGCUCAAAACUGUCUUCAACUCCAGUUCCAGAGGAUCUGAUAGUCUCACACAGACAUACAAGCAGGCAAAACACCAAUGCACAUGAAAUAAAAAUAAAAUGAAAAAGAAAAAUAUGUAAUAUAAUUUACCUUCCACCUAUGUUUUUAAUUACUUGAUAAAUUUAUCACAUUGAAAAAAUCAUUGCUUAUCUUUAAAUGUGUUUUAUAAUGUUUAGUUACAAAUGUCCUUCACUUGCUAUUUGUUUUACCAUUUCUCAAUAUUGUAUUUGUGAAUUGUGAACAAUUAAAGAUUAGAUAGAAAUACAGUAAUUGUAAAAGGUAAGGCUGGUAAAUCUUUACCCCACCAAGCCACUUAAGUUUUUUUUUUUUUUUCUCUUCGACUUCCUUCAUCUUUCACAUACAUAUUAAGACACAAAGUGAACAUUUCUGGGAAGGUCAGCAGGUAGUUUAGCAGAAAGAGGUAAGUGAGCCCCAAAUAUGACAAGCACGGCUUCCAAAACCAAGGUCAGUAUAAGGUCAGAGACAUCUGAAUCAUUGACUCAUUUCUAGGAGAUCCAGAUAUCUGCCCUGUUGAGGAACUUGAUGAAUGAGCAAGAAGUAUAAGCUAUACUGUCUUAGUUACUGUUCUAUUAUUGUGAAGAGACACCAUGAGAGACAACUUAUAGGAAAAAGCAUUUGACUAGGAGAGUCACUUGUAGUUUCAGAGAGUUAGUUCAUGAUCAUCAUUGUGGGGAGCAUGGUGGUAGGCAAGGAUGGCGCUGAGAGCUUAUGCUUGAUCCACAGAUAUGCAGUAGAGUGAGACUGGGCCUGGUGUGGGUUUCUGAAACAUCAAAACCUGCCCUCAGUGACACACUUCCUCUAUCAAGGCCACACCCCUUAAUCCUUACUAAGCAGUCCACCCACUGCAGACCAAGCAUUUAAAUAUAUGACCCUGUGAGGGCCAUUCUCAUUCAGAUCCCAACAAAGACCUACACAGCCACAGCAUUGCAUUACACAUUCAGACUACAGCACACACCUACACAGUCACAGCACUACACAUUCAGACUACAACAUAUGCCUAUGAGCCACAGCACUACACAGGUGGCAUUUUGUUUGCUCUUGAAUGCUAAUUUGAUUUUGUAGUUCUAACAUUUUGUCCUGGAAUCAUAAUGGUGCUGAAGGAGAGAGGCAGAAAGAGAAGCAGGGUGAACCUUCAAUGUACUUGCUUAAUCUAUAUGCUUGCCAAGAAUUACUUACAUAAAGGACCCUAUGACAGAGAAUUAGUGGGUGUUGAAGGUAAGUGCACAUUAAUUAGAAAAUAAUUCCAAGCUUUUCCCCCUGUGGUUUGUGAUGGGGAGUUUGGGAACACUACAGGAAACACAGGCUUUGUACAAUAUCUAAUGAAAUAAUUGCACUUAGUUUUAAGAAGCUCUUGGAAGUCUGGGAGAUGCUUAGCUCUGGAUUCAGUGAGAGAACCUGUUUCAAAAAUUAAGGUAAAGGAGCAGAGAGCCCUUUCAGAUGCUCCAGGUUCAACUCCCAGCACCCAUAUGGUGGUUGCAGCUGUCUGUAACUCAAGUUCCAAGGGAUCCAGCACCCUCUUCUGGCUUCCAUGGGAACCAGACACACAUCUAGUACACAUAAAUACAUACAGGAAAAACGCAAUAUU